rnacentral:rRNA from 1 species
GACGAACGCUGGCGGCGCGCCUAACACAUGCAAGUCGAACGAGCGAGAGAGAGCUUGCUUUCUCGAGCGAGUGGCGAACGGGUGAGUAACGCGUGAGGAACCUGCCUCAAAGAGGGGGACAACAGUUGGAAACGACUGCUAAUACCGCAUAAGCCCACGGGUCGGCAUCGACCAGAGGGAAAAGGAGCAAUCCGCUUUGAGAUGGCCUCGCGUCCGAUUAGCUGGUUGGUGAGGUAAUGGCCCACCAAGGCGACAAUCGGUAGCCGGACUGAGAGGUUGAACGGCCACAUUGGGACUGAGACACGGCCCAAACUCCUACGGGAGGCAGCAGUGGGGAAUAUUGCACAAUGGGGGAAACCCUGAUGCACCGACGCCGCGUGGAGGAAGAAGGUCUUCGGAUUGUAAACUCCCGUUGUUGGGGAAGAUAAUGACGGUACUCAACAAGGAAGUGACGGCUAACUACGUG